UGGGGAAUAUUGGACAAUGGGCGCAAGCCUGAUCCAGCAAUGCCGCGUGUGUGAAGAAGGCCUUCGGGUUGUAAAGCACUUUUAUCAGGAGCGAAACGCUGUCGGCUAAUACCCGGCGGAACUGACGGUACCUGAGGAAUAAGCACCGGCUAACUUCGUGCCAGCAGCCGCGGUAAUACGAAGGGUGCAAGCGUUAAUCGGAAUUACUGGGCGUAAAGCGUGCGUAGGCGGUUUCUUAAGUCUGCUGUGAAAUCCCCGGGCUCAACCUGGGAAUGGCAGUGGAUACUGGGAGGCUAGAGUGUGUCAGAGGGUGGUGGAAUUCCCGGUGUNGCGGUGAAAUGCGUAGAGAUCGGGAGGAACAUCAGUGGCGAAGGCGGCCACCUGGGACAACACUGACGCUGAGGCACGAAAGCGUGGGGAGCAAACAGGAUUAGAUACCCUGGUAGUCCACGCCCUAAACGAUGCGAACUGGAUGUUGGUCUCAACUCGGAGAUCAGUGUCGAAGCUAACGCGUUAAGUUCGCCGCCUGGGGAGUACGGUCGCAAGACU
rnacentral:rRNA from 1 species